rnacentral:rRNA from 1 species
UACGUAGGGGGCAAGCGUUGUCCGGAAUUAUUGGGCGUAAAGCGCGCGCAGGCGGUCAAUUAAGUUGGGUGUUUAAGCCCGGGGCUCAACCCCGGUUCGCAUCCAAAACUGGUUGACUUGAGUGUAGGAGAGGAAAGUGGAAUUCCACGUGUAGCGGUGAAAAUGCGUAGAGAUGUGGAGGAACACCAGUGGCGAAGGCGGCUUCUUGGGCCUUUACUGACGCUGAGGCGCG